UAAAACUGUUUCUUUUAGCUCAAUUGAUGGAGUUUCACUCUCUAUCUUCUCCAAGUUGUUCAUCCUCCUCCAUAGCAAUCCCCUUGAAAGAGCCAACACAGAUUUUGAUGAGUUUUGACAUCAUCGGAUUAGUAACUUACCAGAUGCAAACAUCCCUUGCAGUCUUAUCUCUGGAUUAGGAUCCUGGUCCAUGAUAAGGUACAGGAGGCCGAUCGGUGAAGAAGGAUGGUUAGAAGAUGAAAGUGCUGGGACGACUUUGUUUGGUGGUUAACAUUUGGAUCUUAUAAUCUCCAGGAACAUGAGUUGGAGUUGAAGAUUCGAAUUAACACUGGAGAAAUUCUUCCUUCCCUUCCGAUAUCUUCUUUUGACACUCAUGCCUUUUAAGAGUGCAUGGCCUCCAAUUUUAGCUCAGACUAAUAAAUUACUUCAGCUAGAUGAUUAGAGUUGUUAUUGUGGAUCAAUAGAGGCCACUAAUUUUUUCUGUGUUGAUUGGUGGUAGAAAUGACAUUGAUCACAGGAUAUGCUGACAUUAUUGACAUGCUAUUAUCCUGAACUAAACAGAAGAACUUAUGACAGAAAUGUGCAGGCUGUUGAGUGAGGUUAUUUGAAAUCUCAGUCAUGUAUUGAAAUUGUAUUCCAGGGUCUUAAUUUAUCUUGUCUUUGGAAAACACCUAUGUAGAUUAUCGAUCGAUGAUCGGAAAAUGUAUAAUAAAUUGGAAAUUAUUUUUUUCUCUUUCA